rnacentral:lncRNA from 1 species
GGCCAUGACAUCAGUGAAGUACAUGAGAGUCAUGGUUCAUAGUUUAAAAGAAUUAUGAGAUUCUCUUAAAGUCACAAAGAGUUUAUUUAUGACAUAACUGACAGGCUAAUCUAUAAAGGAAGUCUAGCAAAUUAGAAGUAAUUCAGGAGAGUUUUAUAUACUGAAAAUUUGGGGCCUACCUAGCAGGCUAACAGACUACAAGAUUGUAAAUUAUAAAUGAAGAAUAAGGAAGAAGCCAAGAAAUCUUUUCAUCCAGGUGAAGCUUUCCUUUCGCCUCCCUCCUCCAUCUCCACCUUGCCCACCACCACCCACUUCAGUCUGUCAUUUCUGAGAGUAUGACAAAAACAACAGUGCCUAAGCCCAUCUGUCCUUGGAUGCCAAGUCCACAUUGCUUCGCUCUGAGGAGAUUUUGUACCCACAUUUUCAGAGAAGGCAGUAAAUCACAAUUUUUUCAAGACUAUCAGGAAGAGCUUUUGUUUGUGUGUCUGCUGCUUCCAAAGAUGAGGGUUAGUCUUCUCCACAGCUUAGUUGAUGGUCCUUGAGAGCUGCUAAUGCCAAAAAAAGCAACCAAA